UUCACAGGUGGGGAGAUCUUUUUUUAUGUUUUAAUGGCGGUUGAGGCAUAGAGGCAUAGUCAGUGUCUAUAACCAAGUCGCGUGUGGCUUGCCUGACUAGGUUAUGAGGGAAUGUGCAUGUCAGGUGAAACUUGUGGAAUAGGAUUGAGCUUUCUAUGUGAGGAGUGCUAAAGGGGUUUGUCCCACAAGCUUGGCUGUGCUACGAGAUGCAGUUCCAAAAAUCUUCUUCAGCUGAAGGUCAUUGAGAUUGGAAUACUGAUGAAGAAUUUGCAAGAGAGAUCAUUGCUGGUGUAAAUCCUGGUUUAGAUCACAUCCUUCAAGAGUUUCCUCCAAAAAGUAAGCUAGACAGUGAAGUCUAUGGGGAUCGUACAAGAACAAUAACCAAAGAACAAAUAGAGCUUAACUUAGAUGGGCUCACUGCAGAUCAGACUAUCCAGAACAAGAAAUUGUUCCUGCUAGAUCACCAUUUCAGCUGUUCGGAAGAUAGGACCUUUACUAAAGGUCCUCUCUUAGAAUCUUGAACCUUUGUAUUGAGUCAGUCUUGAAGAACUAUAGAAGUAGCUUAUAAAGUGGUGGUUCUCUCCUAAAGUUGGUUUGCUAUGGACUUUGGAACCUUUCUAUUGAAGUGAGUCUUGAAGAUCUAUUGAUCCAGCUAACAUAUUGGUGUAUUCAUUCAUUCUUUAACUAUUUAGUCAUUUCCUAAUUGCUAAAUUUCAUGUUUAACAUAUUGUGGUACAGUUUUAAAAUGAAAUAUAAGGCGAUUUUUGAUUGC